rnacentral:misc_RNA from 1 species
GAUGAAGAACGUAGCGAAAUGCGAUAAGUAAUGUGAAUUGCAGAAUUCAGUGAAUCAUCGAAUCUUUGAACGCACCUUGCGCUCUUUGGUAUUCCGAAGAGCAUGCCUGUUUGAGUGUCAUGAAAAUAUCAACCUUGACUUGGGUUUUGUGCUCUAGUCUCGGCUUGGAAUUGGGUGCUUGCCGCUUUUACGAGCGGCUCACCUUAAAUGUAUUAGCUGGAUCUGUCUUUGAGACUUGGUUUGACUUGGCGUAAUAAGUAUUUCGCUAAGGACAUUCUUCGGAGGGGCCUCGUUUCUAGGACGCUUGUCCGCUUUCCAAUACAAGUUCCACCUCGUGGACAUGACUUUUUAUUAUCUGGCCUCAAAUCAGGUAGGACUACCCGCUGAACUUAAGCAUAUCAAUAAGCGGAGGA